GACGAACGCUGGCGGCGUGCUUUACACAUGCAAGUCGAACGGUGAACUCGGUGCUUGCACCGGGGGAUCAGUGGCGAACGGGUGAGUAACACGUGAGCAAUCUGCCCCGAACUCUGGGAUAACUGCGGGAAACCGCAGCUAAUACCGGAUACGACCCAAGGAGGCAUCUCCAUUGGGUGGAAAGUUUUUCGGUUCGGGAUGAGCUCGCGGCCUAUCAGCUUGUUGGUGGGGUAAUGGCCUACCAAGGCGACGACGGGUAGCCGGCCUGAGAGGGCGACCGGCCACACUGGGACUGAGACACGGCCCAGACUCCUACGGGAGGCAGCAGUGGGGAAUAUUGCACAAUGGGCGAAAGCCUGAUGCAGCGACGCCGCGUGAGGGACGAAGGCCU
rnacentral:rRNA from 1 species